GACAGAGGGUGCAAACGUUGUUCGGAAUUACUGGGCGUAAAGCGCGUGUAGGCGGUCGGGCAAGUCGGAUGUGAAAGCCCAGGGCUCAACCCUGGAAGUGCACUCGAUACUGCUCGGCUAGAGUCCCGGAGAGGAUGGUGGAACUCUCGGUGUAGAGGUGAAAUGCGCAGAUAUCAGGAGGAACACCGGUGGCGAAGGCGGGUCUCUGGGCAGUAACUGACGCUGAGGAGCGAAAGCGUGGGGAGCGAACAGG
rnacentral:rRNA from 1 species